rnacentral:rRNA from 1 species
GCCAGCAGCCAUAUCACCCUGCAACUCACAACUGGCAACCCACAGAAGCUAAGUAGGUGUGAGCCUGGUCAGUACCUGGAUGGGAGACCUCCUGGGAAAAACUAAGGUUGCUGCUUGAA